rnacentral:piRNA from 1 species
ACUGGACUUGGAGUCAGAAGC